UCGUCUGGGGUUAUGACUCCCGCGGGAAGCACGACUGCUUCGGAGAGUUCUCCACCGCCUUCGAGGAGAUGCAGAAAGCCUUUGGGGAGAACCAGGUGGCUGUUGACUUCACCCUCGGAACAGCUGCUCCCUUCACUAUAUCAACUCCUUCCAGCCCAGCGAAUACCUGCAGGCCCUGGUGGCCGUGGGCGAGAUCUGCCAGGACUAUGACAGCGACAAGAGGCUCUCUGCUUUGGGGUUUGGAGCCCAGAUCCCUCCCAAGGAUGAGGUGUCCCAUGACUUUGCCAUCAAUUUCAACCCGGAGGACGGCAUCCAGGGCAUGGUGGAGGCGUCCCAGAACUGCCUGCCCAGGGUCCAGCUGUAUGGCCACCACGUGGCUCCCAUCAUCUCCAAGGUGGUCUGCACGGCUGCAGCUGAGGAACGCAGCGGAGAGGCUUCUGUAGGUGGUGGGCGGGCACUGCGGGGACCGCGUGCCUUAGAAGGUGUGCCUGCUGCUGGGGAGGUGGGACCGGAUGGGGGUUUGCAGAGGUUGACAGAGCAGCCCGCGGGAGGCCCUGAGGCAGGGAGCGAGAGGCAGCUGGGUGGCAGCGGGGCUGAGAGACCAGGAGGCCCCAGAGCCAGUGGGGUAAGGUGAAUUCUUGCCCUGGAGGCUGACUUGCCGAGCCCGCAGGCAGCCCGAUGUUUAUGGCUCUCUUGGUCCUAUUGUGCGUACGUCGUUAUUUUUUUUUUUUUUUGUCUUUUUUUUGUUGUUGUUGUUGCUAUUUCUUUGGGCCGCUCCCACAGCAUAUGGAGGUACCCAGGCUAGGGGUUGAAUCGGAGCUGUAGCCACCAGCCUACGCCAGAGCCACAGCAACGCAGGAUGCGAGCUGCGGCUGCAACCUACACCACAGCUCACGGCAACGCCGGAUCGUUAACCCACUGAACAAGGGCAGGGACCGAACCCGCAACCUCAUGGUUCCUAGUCGGAUUCGUUAACCACUGCGCCACGAUGGGAACUCCCAUACGUCGUUAUUUUGUUUGCAUGUGUUCUUGUUUGGUUUUUUGCUUUUUGAGGGCUGCACCCAAAGCAUAUGGAGGUUCCCAGGCUAGGGGUCGAAUCGGAGCUACACCUGCUGGCCUACACCACAGCCACAGCAACGCCAGAUCCUUAACCCACCGAGCAAGAGCAGGGAUCUUGCUGCAACCUCACGGUUCCUAACUGGAUUCGUUUCCGCUGCACCAUGACAAGAACUCCUGUUUGCAUGUGUGUGUUUUUUUGUUUUUGUUUUUGUCUUUUUUAGGGCCACAUCUGCGGCAUGUGGAGGUUCCCAGGCUAGGGGUCUACUCGGAGCUACAGCUGCCGGCCUACACCAGAGCCACAGCAACGUGGGAUCCGAGCCAUGUCUGCCACCUACACCACAGCUCACGACAAUGGGGGAUCCUUAACGCACUGAGUGAGGCCAGGGAUCGAACCUGCAACCUCGUGGUUCCUAGUUGGAUUCGUUUCCGCUGCGCCAUGAUGGGAACGCCUGCGUGUGUUUUUAAUUUGCACAAAUAAUACUGAGCUAAAGGCUGCAUUCUACUCCAGUUUUCAUCCUGUUUUGUAGAUCUGCCCCUGCUGCUGUGGGCAUGGCUUCUCUGUUGCUUUCUUUCAAAAUUUUUUUUGAACAAAACCCUGAAAGAAUGGAGGGAGAGCCGGCAGCUUUGGCGCCCUUCCCCGGGACCUCUCCUGUCCCUGCGUGUUCCUCUUUCCUCCUUCCCGCCGUGCGAGAGCAGGCUGACUGCCCUGGAGUCCUCCGGGUCCACCUGCUCAUCUCCAGCCAGGACCCUGUGCGCGGCCGCAGUUCGGCUCUCAGGCCCACAGUGAGGGCGGUUCCCUCCUCCCACCUCGCCCCCGCGUCUCUCUGUCCCCAUCCCAGGCCCUGCGGCCCCAUGUCCCAUGUCCGGGGCCCCUGACCGGAUGGUUCCUCUCAGCCCUGCUCUGUCCUCGGGCCGCCCGUCACCCGAGCCGUGCUCACCGCUGUUGCCCCUUCACUCCGUCCCACCUCGAUGCUGCGGUUCCUGAAUGGCACCCUGGCACACGUACCAGUUUCGAGUGACUGGAUUUAGAUCCAGUGCCUUAUAGAACAUCCUGCGUCUGCCUUCGCCGCCCCAGCGGUGGUUCCACUGCACUAGGAUUUGUGGCGCAGGAAAGGGUCACGUUCGGCCAUGUCCCCAUGUUAUGCUGGAGCAAGUCUCUGACACAGAAUUUCAUUUGUAAACAUUAGCAUAAACCCUGAAAGAGAGAAAAUGGAGGCCAAUGCCUUUGUCACACCUGAAACCCAGUGACAGUUCCCCCGUGUGAGAUGUCCAGCCGCCUCGUCCACCAGCGACGGCUUUUCCAGGAGGAGAAGGGUUAAAGGUCAAGGACUUCGACCUGGCGGUGGGUGUGUCCUUCCUGCUGUGAGACCCCCGGCUCCUGUGGUCCCCUGCGUAUGUCCACGAGCGCCCCCUGGAGGCUGCUGACCUUGCCCUUGGGGGCCCGCCCCUCCUGGCUCCUGCGAGG
ensembl:lncRNA